rnacentral:rRNA from 1 species
UACAGAGGUCCCAAGCGUUGUUCGGAUUCACUGGGCGUAAAGGGUGCGUAGGUGGUGGGGUAAGUUUGAUGUGAAAGCUCCGGGCUUAACCCGGAAAUGGCAUUGAAUACUAUCUCGCUUGAGGGUUGGAGGGGAGACUGGAAUUCUUGGUGUAGCAGUGAAAUGCGUAGAUAUCAAGAGGAACACCGAUGGCGAAGGCAGCUCGCUGGGACGGUACUGACGCUGAGGCGCGAAAGCGUGGGGAGCAAACAGG